rnacentral:rRNA from 1 species
GGAGACAGGUGCUGCAUGGCUGUCGUCAGCUCGUGUCGUGAGAUGUUGGGUUAAGUCCCGCAACGAGCGCAACCCUUGUCUUUAGUUGCCAUCAUUUAGUUGGGCACUCUAAAGAGACUGCCGGUGUCAAACCGGAGGAAGGUGGGGAUGACGUCAAGUCCUCAUGGCCUUUAUGACCAGGGCUACACACGUACUACAAUGGCCGGUACAAAGGGCAGCCACUUAGCGAUAAGGAGCCAAUCCCGUAAAGCCGGUCUCAGUCCGGAUUGGAGUCUGCAACUCGACUCCAUGAAGUUGGAAUCGCUAGUAAUCGCAGAUCAGCACGCUGCGGUGAAUACGUUCCCGGGCCUU